CCUACGGGAGGCAGCAGUAGGGAAUAUUGCUCAAUGGGGGAAACCCUGAAGCAGCAACGCCGCGUGGAGGAUGAAGGUUUUCGGAUUGUAAACUCCUUUUGUUAGAGAAGAUAAUGACGGUAUCUAACGAAUAAGCAACGGCUAACUCCGUGCCAGCAGCCGCGGUAAUACGGAGGGUGCAAGCGUUACUCGGAAUCACUGGGCGUAAAGAGCGCGUAGGCGGGAUAGCAAGUCGGAUGUGAAAUCCUAUGGCUUAACCAUAGAACUGCAUUUGAAACUGUUAUUCUAGAGUAUGGGAGAGGUAGGUGGAAUUCUUGGUGUAGCGGUAAAAUGCGUAGAGAUCAAGAGGAAUACUGAUUGCGAAGGCGACCUGCUAGAACAUAACUGACGCUGAUGCGCGAAAGCGUGGGGAGCAAACAGGAUUAGAUACCCCGGUAGUC
rnacentral:rRNA from 1 species